rnacentral:rRNA from 1 species
AGUGAACGCUGGCGGUAGGCCUAACACAUGCAAGUCGAACGGCAGCACAGUAAGAGCUUGCUCUUACGGGUGGCGAGUGGCGGACGGGUGAGGAAUACAUCGGAAUCUACUUUUUCGUGGGGGAUAACGUAGGGAAACUUACGCUAAUACCGCAUACGACCUACGGGUGAAAGCAGGGGAUCUUCGGACCUUGCUCGAUUGAAUGAGCCGAUGUCGGAUUAGCUAGUUGGCGGGGUAAAGGCCCACCAAGGCGACGAUCCGUAGCUGGUCUGAGAGGAUGAUCAGCCACACUGGAACUGAGACACGGUCCAGACUCCUACGGGAGGCAGCAGUGGGGAAUAUUGGACAAUGGGCGCAAGCCUGAUCCAGCAAUACCGCGUGGGUGAAGAAGGCCUUCGGGUUGUAAAGCCCUUUUGUUGGGAAAGAAAAGCAGCAGGUUAAGACCCCGCUGUUCUGACGGUACCCAAAGAAUAAGCACCGGCUAACUUCGUG